rnacentral:lncRNA from 1 species
UUGCAUGUGGCUGGGUGGCGAGAAAUUUUUGGAACUGUUCAGCAAGAUCAAACACUCUUGAAGUAGUCUCAUAUGGAUAUACAUGAUCAAUACCAAUGCCAACGGAAGAAGGAUCAGUCAAACGAAAUAUAGCCAUAUUAUCAAACAAUCAAAUAAACCAACAAACAAUUGCUUCAAAUGUAGAAGUCCAACCAAUCACCCCCAAUGCCAAAACUCAACGGAGCCAACCAAUAACAAAUUCAAUAAGCAAUAUGCAAACCAAC